AUGUCGUCAGCGUGGCGCCGCUCGGUAAGGCGCCGCGCGCCCGUGAGCGAGCGGGAGGAGGGCCGGCGGGAGCUGGGCCGUAGGGUGGAGGAGCUGGAGGAGGCGGUCGAGGGGCUUCGUGGGGAGAAGAACGCGGCGGAGGCAGAGGAAGCGGCGCUGUGCGCUGAGCUGAACGCGGAGCGCGGCGCGGCGGAAUCCGCGGCGCGCGAGACCAUGUCGAUGAUCGAGCGGCUUCAGCGGGAGAAGGCGGCCGCGCUCCUGGAAGCGCGCCAGUUCCGCCGGCUGGCCGAGGGACGCGUCGAGCGCGACCGGCAGCUCCACAACGAGCUUGCGUCGUUGUCGGCCCUCGCCGGCGGCUACCUCGCCCUCCUCCACGCCCACGGCAUCGGCCCCGCUGACGAGAACUGUUACCAUGACCAUGAGGAGGAGCGUCCCGUAGAAGUAGAACACGUCGAACCGAAGGUCGACAGGGAGAGUACCGGCGAGAGCGUCGUGGUGGUCAAGAAGUCGGUCCCGCCGCCUCCCGCGGAGGAGCUGGAGUGCACAAAAGACAUGGGGUGCGCGGCCGCGUCGAAGUCCGUGGCUGUGGAGUGCACGGAAGAGGAGCGCGUGGACGGUGCGCCGGACCUGUACGCGAGGGUGGGGGCGCUGGAGGCGGACAGGGCGGCCACACGGAGGGAGGUGGCGGCGCUGCGAGCCGAGCCAGCGCGAGCGGUGCUAGCAAGGGACAUGGCACGGCGCCUGUGCCGUGAAUCCGCGGCCGUCACGACGGUGCAGAAGCCGCGCUUCUCCGUGCUCGCCAUUUGCAAGUGGUUCUUCCCCAUGAUCCUAAGGAGCAAGAGAUGUUUUACGGCCAGGUCCGCGCAGGUGGCGCUCCUAACCAAAAAUGUUCUUCUGUCUUUCAGUCGCAGUUUUCACAAGACGCAAAAAACGUUUCCUGAAUCUCUCACGCUGACGCUUGGCUUCUCGUCGGCGCUGCUCGGCAUGCUUCUACUUCUAGAGAGAUUCACGGCUGCACUGCAUCGCCGCCGGCGGCGGUCGUUGUUGGGAUCAUAG
rnacentral:rRNA from 1 species